rnacentral:rRNA from 1 species
UAAACGACUCUCGGCAAUGGAUAUCUCGGCUCUCGCAUCGAUGAAGAACGUAGCGAAAUGCGAUACUUGGUGUGAAUUGCAGAAUCCCGUGAACCAUCGAGUCUUUGAACGCAAGUUGCGCCCGAAGCCAUUAGGCCGAGGGCACGCCUGCCUGGGCGUCACAC